GCCUGGGUGGCUCAGUCGGUUGGGCAACUGACUUCAGCUCAGGUCAGGAUCUCAUGGUUCAUGGGUUCGAGCCCUGUAUCGGGCU
rnacentral:tRNA from 1 species